UACGGGGGGGGCAAGCGUUGUUCGGAAUUACUGGGCGUAAAGGGCGUGUAGGCGGCCAACUAAGUCCGACGUGAAAUCCCCAGGCUUAACCUGGGAACUGCGUCGGAUACUGGAUGGCUUGAAUCCGGGAGAGGGAUGCAGAAUUCCAGGUGUAGCGGUGAAAUGCGUAGAUAUCUGGAGGAACACCGGUGGCGAAGGCGGCAUCCUGGACCAACACUGACGCUGAGUGAGCGAAAGCCAGGGGAGCAAACGGG
rnacentral:rRNA from 1 species